GAUUAUGGAUUUUGUGUCUAUUUUUAUAUUUUUCUUUCCUUUUUUGUGAUGCAAACCAAGUGUGUGUGAAAAUGCCUCAAUGGACUAAGAUUGUGAAAUUUAGUGAAUGAUUCUUCUAUAGGCUAAUGUAGUUGUUGCUUAUUGUUCUCUAGGCCUUUUUUUUAUUUCAGUUUUAAAUUUGGAAGUAUAUAUUAUGGAAUGACCUAAAUAGUUGAUUCUUUGAAGAUGAAUUUUUUAGAUAAUAUUUUUAAACAUUUUAUUCCUAAAGAUGAUAUGAAUCUUAAUUUUUAUUUUGUUGCUCCUUAAUGAUAAAUUGAGGCACCUAGCCAUUAUGAAGGAAAGUAUAUAGAAUAAUUUAUUGGAGUAUCUCCAAAUGCAGCUCACGGAUAGGGCUAUGGACGAGGUUGGAGGGCUUGGGCUUGCAGAGGGUCAUGGAUGGCUCGGUCUCACGGAGAGGUGAUGGGUCAAAACUUGAAAAACUUGAAAAGUAGGAAACCUCGCUGAACCCAUUAUUUUCAUGUUGCUGACCAACAUGGGAAGGUGGUCAGUACAAUGGCGAUGAAAAAAUGCGACAGGAUGCACUUCGAUUGGCCAUGGAAUACGGGGCUGAUUACAUUGAUGUUGAGCUCCAGGUUGCUCAUGAAUUCAUUCAAUCCAUAGCUGGAAAGAAGCCUGAAAAUUUUAAGAUUGUUGUUUCUUCUCAUAAUUAUCAAAAUACCCCAUCUAUGGAGGAUCUUGGUAAUCUUGUUGCAAAAAUACA